UUGUACAGCAAGAAGAUAUCAAGAGCUACAUUGACAACUCUCUUAAAACUGGCGUUCAUCUGUCAGUUUUCCGCAAAGAUCGCGUUGGGGGUGAUUCACAUGGAGUUAAUUUUUGGUAUGAGGAUGAUCCCUUAAUUGGUCACCGUUUAUAUCGGG